rnacentral:hammerhead_ribozyme from 1 species
AUCCAGAUGACGAGUCCCAAACAGGACGAAACACGAGUCCUGGAU